AGAAAAGUAAGCUAAUUCAAGCUAUUGGGUUCAUACCCCACUUAUAGAGAUUAAUCCUCUCUUUUCUA
rnacentral:tRNA from 1 species